rnacentral:rRNA from 1 species
UACAGAGGUCUCAACCGUUGUUCGGAUUCAUUGGGCGUAAAGGGUGCGUAGGCGGUCGCGCAAGUCGGAUGUGAAAUCUUAGGGCUCAACCCUGAAACUGCAUUCGAUACUGCGUGGCUCGAGUACUGGAGAGGAGACUGGAAUUUACGGUGUAGCAGUGAAAUGCGUAGAUAUCGUAAGGAAGACCAGUGGCGAAGGCGAGUCUCUGGGCAGUUACUGACGCUGAGGAGCGAAAGCAUGGGGAGCGAACAGG